UGUGAAAGCCCCGGGCUCAACCUGGGAACUGCAUUUGAUACUGCCUCACUAGAGUAUGGUAGAGGGAGGCGGAAUUCCAGGUGUAGCGGUGAAAUGCGUAGAUAUCUGGAGGAACAUCAGUGGCGAAGGCGGCUUCCUGGACCAAUACUGACACUGAGGUGCGAAAGCGUGGGUAGCAAACAGGAUUAGAUACCCUGGUAGUCCACGCCGUAAACGAUGUCAACUAGCCGUUGGAUCCAUUUAAGGGUUUAGUGGCGCACCUAACGCGAUAAGUCGACCGCCUGGGGAGUACGGCCGCAAGGUUAAAACUCAAAGGAAUUGACGG
rnacentral:rRNA from 1 species